rnacentral:rRNA from 1 species
UACAGAGGUCUCAAGCGUUGUUCGGAUUCAUUGGGCGUAAAGGGUGCGUAGGUGGCGGGGUUAGUCAGGUGUGAAAUCUCGGGGCUCAACCCCGAAACUGCACUUGAUACUGCCUUGCUAGAGUACUGGAGAGGAGAUUGGAAUUUACGGUGUAGCAGUGAAAUGCGUAGAUAUCGUAAGGAAGACCAGUGGCGAAGGCGAAUCUCUGGACAGUUACUGGCACUGAGGCACGAAGGCCAGGGGAGCAAACGGGAUUAGA